rnacentral:lncRNA from 1 species
CUGGCUGCUCAUCAUCCCUCAGGUUUACUUAAAGGUGAUAAGAAAAAAGAAAACCUAAUGUGUAGUAAGUAAACAUAGCUGCUGCCAUUUACUUAACCUUUACUAUGUACCAAGUCCUUGACAUGAAUUUCUUAGUUUUCUCCUCACAACAACCUAAGAGGUAGUUUUUGUCAUUCUCAUUUUAUAGAAACUGGAGCUUAGAGUAAGGAACUUGGCCAGGCACAGCGGCUAACACCUGUAAUCCCAGCACUUUGGGAGGCCAAAGCGAGAGGAUUGCUUCAGCCCAGGAAUUCAAGACCAGCCUAGGCAACAUGGUGAGACUCUAUCUCUACAAAAAAAAUUUUUUUUAAUUAGUCAGGUGUGGUGGUGUGCACCUGUGGUCCCAGCUACUCAGAAGCCUGAGGCAGGAAGAUUAUCUGAGCCCACGAGGUCGAGGCUGCAGUAAGCCCUGUUCACAACACUGUACUCCAGCUGGGGCAACAGAGUGAGAC